rnacentral:rRNA from 1 species
AUAGCUUUAGGGCUAGCCUCAAGGUGAGAGAUACGGAGGUAGAGCACUGAAUGUCCUAGGGGGUAUUGCACCUACCGAAGACUAUCAAACUCCGAAUGCCGUCAUCUUAUACUUGGGAGUCAGACUGUGGGUGAUAAGAUUCAUAGUCGAAAGGGCAACAGCCCAGAUCGUCAGCUAAGGUCCCUAAAUGUAAGUUAAGUGGUAAAGGAUGUGGGAUUGCACAGACAACCAGGAUGUUGGCUUAGAAGCAGCCACUCAUUCAAAGAGUGCGUAAUAGCUCACUGGUCGAGUGAUCCUGCGCCGAAGAUUUCCGGGGCUAAAACUUACUACCGAAGCUACGGCAUCAGUAAUGAUGGGUAGGGGGGCUUCCCAUACGGGUUGAAGCAUGACCGUAAGGACAUGUGGACAGUAUGGGAGUGAGAAUGUUGGCAUGAGUAGCGAGAUGUGGGUGGGAAUCCCACAGGCCGUAAACCCAAGGUUUCCAGGGGAAG